GGCUAAGAAAGUCGCAUAACAAUUAAUUGAUCAAACUAAUAUUCAAGAGGAGUAGAUAAGAGAGGACGGAUUAGAUGAAAUUGUAAACCCCCAACAACAUCCAUUCAUCCAUUGUUUUCUUUUGUCAAUUGAAUCAACUUUAUUUUGUAUGUUAAUAUUUUUGUUCUCAAAUCCAAUUUAUUAAUUUUUAUUUUCAAGUCUUAUUAUUUUAAUUCACGUGAACGAGAAAGCCUUUCGAGUCUCUUGGGAAAACGAUACUUGGUCUUACCAUUUAUAUUACUUGUAC
rnacentral:lncRNA from 1 species